GUCUCUGAAAUGAAAGUGUAGUGCGUUAUCAUGCCCGACUAGUAAUCUGGGAGACGCGGGUUCGAAUCCUGCUCGGGACA